rnacentral:rRNA from 1 species
AUUGAACGCCGGCGGCAGGCCUAACACAUGCAAGUCGAGCGGAUGAAGGGAGCUUGCUCCUGGAUUCAGCGGCGGACGGGUGAGUAAUGCCUAGGAAUCUGCCUGGUAGUGGGGGAUAACGUCCGGAAACGGGCGCUAAUACCGCAUACGUCCUGAGGGAGAAAGUGGGGGAUCUUCGGACCUCACGCUAUCAGAUGAGCCUAGGUCGGAUUAGCUAGUUGGUGGGGUAAAGGCCUACCAAGGCGACGAUCCGUAACUGGUCUGAGAGGAUGAUCAGUCACACUGGAACUGAGACACGGUCCAGACUCCUACGGGAGGCAGCAGUGGGGAAUAUUGGACAAUGGGCGAAAGCCUGAUCCAGCCAUGCCGCGUGUGUGAAGAAGGUCUUCGGAUUGUAAAGCACUUUAAGUUGGGAGGAAGGGCAGUAAGUUAAUACCUUGCUGUUUUGACGUUACCAACAGAAUAAGCACCGGUUAACUUCGUG